rnacentral:rRNA from 1 species
UCCGAGUUGUAAUUUGUAGAGGAUGCUUUUGGUGCGGUGCCUUCCGAGUUCCCUGGAACGGGACGCCAUAGAGGGUGAGAGCCCCGUCUGGUUGGACACCAAUCCUCUGUAAAGCUCCUUCGACGAGUCGAGUAGUUUGGGAAUGCUGCUCUAAAUGGGAGGUAUAUGUCUUCUAAAGCUAAAUACCGGCCAGAGACCGAUAGCGCACAAGUAGAGUGAUCGAAAGAUGAAAAGCACUUUGAAAAGAGGGUUAAACAGUACGUGAAAUUGUUGAAAGGGAAGCGCUUGUGACCAGACUUGGGCCCGGUUAAUCAUCCAGCGUUCUCGCUGGUGCACUUGGCCGGCCCAGGCCAGCAUCAGUUCGGCGCGGGGGACAAAGGCUUCGGGAAUGUGGCUCCUCCGGGAGUGUUAUAGCCCGCUGCGUAAUACCCUGCGCUG